rnacentral:rRNA from 1 species
GGCUCAGGAUGAACGCUAGCUACAGGCUUAACACAUGCAAGUCGAGGGGCAGCAUGACCUAGCAAUAGGUGAUGGCGACCGGCGCACGGGUGAGUAACACGUAUCCAACCUACCGGUUAUUCCGGGAUAGCCUUUCGAAAGAAAGAUUAAUACCGGAUAGUAUAGCGAGAAGGCAUCCUCUUGUUAUUAAAGAAUUUCGAUAACCGAUGGGGAUGCGUUCCAUUAGUUUGUUGGCGGGGUAACAGCCCACCAAGACAUCGAUGGAUAGGGGUCUGAGAGGAAGGUCCCCCACAUUGGAACUGAGACACGGUCCAAACUCCUACGGGAGGCAGCAGUGAGGAAUAUUGGUCAAUGGACGAGAGUCUGAACCAGCCAAGUAGCGUGAAAAGGAUGACUGCCCUAUGGGUUGUAAACUUCUUUUAUAUGGGAAUAAGGUGAGCCACGUGUGGCCUUUUGUAUGUACCAUACGAAUAAGGAUCGGCUAACUCCGUGCCAGCAGCAGC